rnacentral:rRNA from 1 species
AGAGUUUGAUUAUGGCUCAGGAUGAACGCUGGCGGCGUGCCUAACACAUGCAAGUCGAACGGGGUUAUUCAGGAAAUUUCCUUCGGGGAAUGGAAUCUUUAACCUAGUGGCGGACGGGUGAGUAACGCGUGAGCAAUCUGCCUUCGGAUGGGGGAUAACAGCCGGAAACGGCUGCUAAUACCGCAUAACACAUGGGAUCCGCAUGUUUCCCAUGUCAAAGAUUUAUCGUCCGGAGAUGAGCUCGCGUCUGAUUAGCUGGUUGGCGGGGUAACGGCCCACCAAGGCGACGAUCAGUAGCCGGACUGAGAGGUUGAACGGCCACAUUGGGACUGAGACACGGCCCAGACUCCUACGGGAGGCAGCAGUGGGGAAUAUUGCGCAAUGGGGGCAACCCUGACGCAGCAACGCCGCGUGAUUGAAGAAGGCCUUCGGGUUGUAAAGAUCUUUAAUCGGGGACGAAUUUUGACGGUACCCGAAGAAUAAGCUCCGGCUAACUACGUGCCAGCAGCCGCGGUAAUACGUAGGGAGCAAGCGUUAUCCGGAUUUACUGGGUGUAAAGGGCGUGUAGGCGGGCAUGCAAGCCAGAAGUGAAAUCUGGGGGCUUAACCCCCAAACUGCUUUUGGAACUGCGUGUCUUG